GACGAACGCUGGCGGCGUGCUUAACACAUGCAAGUCGAACGGAAAGGCCCUGCUUUUGUGGGGUGCUCGAGUGGCGAACGGGUGAGUAUCACGUGAGUAACCUACCCUUGACUUUGGGAUAACUUCAGGAAACUGGGGCUAAUACCGGAUAGGAGCUCCUGCUGCAUGGUGGGGGUUGGAAAGUUUCGGCGGUUGGGGAUGGACUCGCGGCUUAUCAGCUUGUUGGUGGGGUAGUGGCUUACCAAGGCUUUGACGGGUAGCCGGCCUGAGAGGGUGACCGGCCACAUUGGGACUGAGAUACGGCCCAGACUCCUACGGGAGGCAGCAGUGGGGAAUAUUGCACAAUGGGCGGAAGCCUGAUGCAGCAACGCCGCGUGCGGGAUGACGGCCUUCGGGUUGUAAACCGCUUUCGCCUGUGACGAAGCGUGAGUGACGGUAAUGGGUAAAGAAGCACCGGCUAACUACGUG
rnacentral:rRNA from 1 species